CAGGUGGCUCAGUUGGUUAUCAGCCAAUGGGGAGCGUUCGCCGUCGACAGCGCGCCGGCCCGCGUGAGCUGUAGGUGCCCAGGAGGAACCCCGAAGAGAGAAGAAGAGGAGACUUGGUCGACUGGAAGGGGAGGGGGGGGGGGGAAUAAGGGGCUGGGUUGUUAUUUUUUUUUUUUUUUUUGUUUCCAGCACCGGCAGUGAAAGUUGUUGCAGGGGCAUCUAAAAUCCUCCAGCCGGGCAGCCAACUGACUUCAGUCUUGAUCCGCACCGAACGGACGCCAGUUCGCUGCCUACAUCCAACCAGCAACCAUCGCGCGAAAGUUUGUUGCUCAAACAACAAACAACAAGUGUCGUCCCGCGACAGAAACAUUUUCGGUGUCAAUUUGUUUAAUUCUUCUUCCGGACCCAAGUCGAAGACAUUCCAACACAUUGAAGUAAGAGAAAAACAUAACCACCCGACAAAAUAAUUUUGAUCAUGUUCAUCCACUGACGGGACCCAAUAAUAUCCAAGAAAGUGGACUUUUUUUUCUUCUUCAAAAUAAUCGAAAACCCAUUCACGCCAGAAGAAUCAAAAUCCGACACUCAAACAAUAUAACAGCAGGUGAAUCAUCCCAGGCGAAAUAAUAGGCCGCGAUAUGUUUGCCUUUCAUUCAUUUGCUCUCAUUUCUUUCUCCGUCGAGUUCUUUCGCGUUUCAACACACAAUUCAAAUGUGUACGAUACACUGUUUCGUCACCGGAAGCCCUCACGGACUGAAUAACACAGUGACAUGCGGUGUCGCAAAAUAGAGCGUGAGUCAUUCACCUACCGCACCUGGUUCGUGGCAUCGCAGCUUUGUUUUUUUUUUUAAUUUAUUUUUCAAUUUUCAGGCGGAACGCUUUCGAUAGCCAUCACUUCCAUCUUUGAAAAGGUCACCUUGGUGUCAUUUCGGUUCUCUUUUUGUUAAUAAUAAAUUUUUGAAAUUCUAUGGGUUCCAAUCCCUGCAGUUCCCGCGUCUCAAUAGGAAGCACACAACAAACUUCCAAUGACAGUUAAUUUCAGCAAGGGCAUCAAAAACAAAGAAGUUCCAGUUGUUCUUCAAAAAUUGCUAUUUAGAAGUUUAUCUUCCCGUAGUUGCUAUGCUGUGCUGCGAUGUUGUUGCAGCCUAAGCUGGUGAAAGAUUUUUUUGGCAUCGAAGUUAACCUGUGGCUGUUCCUUGGUGCUGGUGUUGUGUUACGGAAGUUGCAACCAGUAUUUUAUCAACUGUCAUUGUGUCAGCAGUUUACCGUUUUAAUGAUAAGAAGGAACAGAAAUAUGGGAGUGUUUAUGUCAAGCAAAUAAUAAACAUUGCUUCGCAAUUGGGAAAGCAAUGAGGGGGAAGUUGGGAGGUGGUUGGGAGAUGUGAUAAAUAAAAUAAAAAUUUUGUGUUUUAUCAAGGAACUGACGCGGUAAGUAAAAUAUCAGUUAUAAAUCAUUAACCAGCCAAAAAUGAAAAAUUCCUCAUCCUAAAAAAAUUCCUGACACCACAUUCACAAUUAAUUGAAAUUAUACAUUUCUACGAAUUGUUAUUACAUUAAAGCUGUUAUUACUAAAUAUUUUAAUUAAAACACACUGUUAUAUUAUUUAAAUAAAUAAUAAUUCAAUAGCGUACGAUAUAAAACAAAUCUUUUUGUUUCCUGCAAGAUAUUAACAAGUAUUCCAACAUCAAAUGUGACAAAAAU
rnacentral:lncRNA from 1 species